AUGAACGCUGGCGGCGUGCCUAAUACAUGCAAGUCGAACGCACUUCGGUUUUGAUUGAUGGUGCUUGCACCAGAUUGACGAGACAUUGAAGUCAGUGGCGAACGGGUGAGUAACACGUGGUAACCUGCCCUAAAGUGGGGGAUAACAUUUGGAAACAGAUGCUAAUACCGCAUAACAACGAAAACCACAUGGUUUUCGCUUGAAAGAUGGUUUCGGCUAUCACUUUAGGAUGGACCCGCGGUGCAUUAGCUAGUUGGUAAGGUAACGGCUUACCAGGCAAUGAUGCAUAGCCGAGCUAAGAGGGUAAUCGGCCACAUUGGGACUGAGACACGGCCCAGACUCCUA
rnacentral:rRNA from 1 species